CGGGCGGCUCCGCGCUGUGCAGGUCCGGCGGAGCUCCGAGCCCAGGGAGGUCCGAGCCGGAGUGCUGGCGGCGGCACAGCCGCUGGAAGUAAUGGUGUGAGUGCUUCUUAAGUUCCACCUAACACCAAUAGAUCAAUCUGAAGUCACCGGGAAUAUCUACAAACAGGAAAAGAAGGUUGAGAGCAGAAAAGAAACAACCGUUUUAAAGUAUGGGAUGAGAGCAGCACCAGAACAUCUUCCCUGAAUGUUGGAGGAAAAAGUGCACUCAUCUGAGAAUGAAUUAAAACAAACUGACAAAUGCCCAUCUGAGCUUUUCCUGCAUGUGUUCAGUGUUAAUUUCUCCAGUCCAGCUGUGGAGCUACUGCAGCUCCUGGUAUGUGAAGGAAUUGAGAGUGCACAUUCCCAAACCGGCCCUGUUCUGAAGUCUGCUGUAAAUGCUCCCGGGUGCUGCUCCUGGGGAGCCCAUUACACCUUAGAGGCUG
rnacentral:lncRNA from 1 species